rnacentral:rRNA from 1 species
GGGGAAGUAGCGUACGAGCUUUGCCUGCCAUCUCUUACCCAUGUCUUUUGAGUACCUUCGUUUCCUCGGCGGGUUCGCCCGCCGGUUGGACAACACUUAAACCCUUUGUAAUUGAAAUCAGCGUCUGAAAAACUUUAAUAGUUACAACUUUCAACAACGGAUCUCUUGGUUCUGGCAUCGAUGAAGAACGCAGCGAAAUGCGAUAAGUAGUGUGAAUUGCAGAAUUCAGUGAAUCAUCGAAUCUUUGAACGCACAUUGCGCCCCUUGGUAUUCCAUGGGGCAUGCCUGUUCGAGCGUCAUUUGUACCUUCAAGCUCUGCUUGGUGUUGGGUGUUUGUCUCGCCUUUUGCGCGCAGACUCGCCUCAAAACGAUUGGCAGCCGGCGUAUUGAUUUCGGAGCGCAGUACAUCUCGCGCUUUGCACUCACAACGACGACGUCCAAAAAGUACAUUUUUACACUCUUGACCUCGGAUCAGGUAGGGAUACCCGCUGAACUUAAGCAUAUCAAAAGAGGGAGGAAG